rnacentral:rRNA from 1 species
AAACUAACAAGGAUUCCCCUAGUAACGGCGAGUGAAGCGGGAAGAGCUCAAAUUUGAAAUCUGGUGGCCUCAGGCUAUCCGAGUUGUAAUCUAUAGAAACAUUUUCCGCGUUGGCCCAUGUACAAGUCUCUUGGAAUAGAGCGUCAUAGAGGGUGAGAAUCCCGUCCUUGACAUGGACUACCAGUGCUUUGUGAUAUGUUUUCAACGAGUCGAGUUGUUUGGGAAUGCAGCUCAAAAUGGGUGGUAAAUUCCAUCUAAAGCUAAAUAUUGGCGAGAGACCGAUAGCGAACAAGUACCGUGAGGGAAAGAUGAAAAGCACUUUGGAAAGAGAGUUAAACAGUAUGUGAAAUUGUUGAAAGGGAAACGAUUGAAGUCAGUCGUGUCUAUUGGACUCAGCCGGUUCUGCCGGUGUACUUCCUUUAGAUGGGGUCAACAUCAGUUUUGAUCGCUGGAAAAGGGCAGGAGGAAUGUAGCACUCUCGGGUGAACUUAUAGCCUUCUGUCGCAUACAGUGGUUGGGACUGAGGAACGCAGCUUGCCUUUAUGGCCGGGAUUUAUCCACGUACAAGCUUAGGAUGUUGACAUAAUGGCUUUAAACGACCCGUCUUGAA